GGCGAACGCUGGCGGCGUGCUUAACACAUGCAAGUCGAACGGAAAGGCCCUGCUUUUGUGGGGUGCUCGAGUGGCGAACGGGUGAGUAACACGUGAGUAACCUGCCCUUGACUUUGGGAUAACUUCAGGAAACUGGGGCUAAUACCGGAUAGGAGCUCCUGCUGCAUGGUGGGGGUUGGAAAGUUUCGGCGGUUGGGGAUGGACUCGCGGCUUAUCAGCUUGUUGGUGGGGUAGUGGCUUACCAAGGCUUUGACGGGUAGCCGGCCUGAGAGGGUGACCGGCCACAUUGGGACUGAGAUACGGCCCAGACUCCUACGGGAGGCAGCAGUGGGGAAUAUUGCACAAUGGGCGGAAGCCUGAUGCAGCAACGCCGCGUGCGGGAUGACGGUCUUCGGGUUGUAAACCGCUUUCGCCUGUGACGAAGCGUGAGUGACGGUAAUGGGUAAAGAAGCACCGGCUAACUACGUG
rnacentral:rRNA from 1 species